CCCCUAUAGAUUCUUUGCCUUUCAAGUUUAAAUAUUGGCCUGGGUGGGAGUGGCUGAAAAGGAGGAAAAGUAAAACUGAAGUGGAUGUGGCGUCCUUAGUGACAUCAAGUUCAUUUCAAACAUAU
rnacentral:snoRNA from 1 species